UAGGGAAUAUUGGUAAUGUGCGAAAGCGCGAACCAGCAACGCCGCGUGCACGAUGAAGGCCUUCGGGUCGUAAAGUGCUUUUAGAGAGGAUGAGGAAGGACAGUACUUUCUGAAUAAGCCUCGGCUAACUACGUGCCAGCAGCCGCGGUAAAACGUAGGAGGCAAGCGUUAUCCGGAUUUACUGGGCGCAAAGCGCAUGCAGGUGGUUUUGUAAGUUGGAUGUGAAAGCUCCUGGCUUAACUGGGAGAGGUCGUUCAAAACUACAAGACUUGAGAUUGGUAGAGGAAAAUGGAAUUCCGGGUGUAGUGGUGAAAUGCGUAGAUAUCCGGAGGAACACCAGUGGCGAAAGCGGUUUUCUGGACCAAUUCUGACACUCAGAUGCGAAAGCUAAGGUAGCAAACG
rnacentral:rRNA from 1 species